CCUACGGGAGGCAGCAGUAGGGAAUAUUGCUCAAUGGGGGAAACCCUGAAGCAGCAACGCCGCGUGGAGGAUGAAGGUUUUCGGAUUGUAAACUCCUUUUGUUAGAGAAGAUAAUGACGGUAUCUAACGAAUAAGCACCGGCUAACUCCGUGCCAGCAGCCGCGGGAAUACGGAGGGUGCAAGCGUUACUCGGAAUCACUGGGCGUAAAGAGCGCGUAGGCGGGAUAGCAAGUCAGAUGUGAAAUCCUAUGGCUUAACCAUAGAACUGCAUUUGAAACUGUUAUUCUAGAGUAUGGGAGAGGUAGGUGGAAUUCUUGGUGUAGGGGUAAAAUCCGUAGAGAUCAAGAGGAAUACUCAUUGCGAAGGCGGCCUGCUAGAACAUAACUGACGCUGAUGCGCGAAAGCGUGGGGAGCAAACAGGAUUAGAUACCCGGGUAGUC
rnacentral:rRNA from 1 species